ensembl:snRNA U1 U1 spliceosomal RNA
AUACUUACCUGGCAGGGGAGACACCAUGAUCAUGAAGGUGGUUCACCCAGGGCGAGGCUCAGCCAUUGCACUUCGACUGUGCUGACCCGUGCGAAUUCCUCAAAUGUGGGAAUCUCGACUGCAUAAUUUGUGGUAGUGGGGGACUGCGUUCGCGCUCUCCCCUG